ensembl:lncRNA
CCAGAAUCAGUGACUGCUUGUAGCCUUUUGUGAGCGUUGUGUACAAGCAUGAAACCAAAUACUCAAGAUUGGGGGGAUCAAUUGUGAAAGCUGAAGAACUGGUCAUUGAAAAGCCCAUAUUGUUUGAGUACUAGACUGCAUGUCUAUGGUGGUUAGGGCCCCGAGUCCCUGAAGUGUCCUGAAUGGCAGCGCUGGAUCUAAACAUUACUGAGCAACUGCAUGGAAGAAUUCAAAUGUGCAGAGCAUGCUGGGAAGCUGAGCAAGCGUCACUGCUUAAGCAAAACCAAACACUCAUACAUGAGUCAGGACCAGCACAGAAAACUACAAACAGUCUUUGAUGACACACAUACUUGGACAGAUGGGGCCAGUGCAGCUGUCGGCUGGUCAGCGCAGGGUAUAAUGAAACAAAGGAGAACCUGUAGUUACAAGCAAGCCAAGCAUGCAACCAUUUAAUGUCUUUAGAUUCAAACAUCUGAACGAUGCUGAUGUCCUCACCCAUGUCUCCUCAGCACAACCACAGUUAUUCUGUCCUCUCCACAUUACACCAACCAAACUCACCACUCAUUCCUCAACUAAACAAACAGUCCAUAUUAUCUAUAAUGUCUACAACAAAACAUGGCAGCACAUAAGCUCAUAAACACAGAGGAUACUGGAGCGCUAUAUGUGGAUGUGCAUGUGUUUACUGUAUAUGUGUUUUGGCAACGCGAGUGAUUAGUUUACAGUGGCUAGAGCACAAAGCAUAAGGUCAUCAAUCAUUUCCCAGACAAAAGUGUCAAGCCCGUUGCACAAAAAGAGAAAGAAAGAGUGAGGGAGAGAGAGAAUGAAGGAGAAUUAUGAAACAUAAGGGCAGACAGAUGGAAAUAUGAAUGAUGGAUGUCGAGAAAAAGAGAGAGGGAGAGAUAUUCCUGACUUAGCAAAGAAAUACAUAUAAAUGAGGAAAGACUAGAGGAGGAAAGAUGGAGAGAAAGCAGAGAGGAGGAUACACUCAGCUGGGCCUCAGAGGAUAUGAGUGAGAAAGGGCUAAACGAAUAAUUUAAAUUAUAAUGACAUGAAGUUGGGUGAGGUACAGGGGAAAGUGGAGAGAGGGAAGUAAAAAAAUAUGGAAUGUGUGUUUUUUUUUUUUUUUUUACUUCAGGCACUUUAAUGUCCCAGGGGUGGAUUUUUUAUUAAAACUAACAGAUUUCAGAUUUCAGAUUUAUUUAUUUAUUUAUUUUUUUACAUUUAUUUUUUUUGUCUUUAAAACAGUAUUUAAUUAUUUUACCUUUGUUCCAGACUUAAAUGUUUAAACUAAAAUUAUGAAAUCUAUCUAAAAAUAAAUAAAUAAAUCAAACUAUGCA